UGAGUGGCGACGGGUGAGUAACGCGUGGGCAACCUGGCCUGUACAGGGGGAUAACACUUAGAAAUAGGUGCUAAUACCGCAUAACGGGGGAAGCCGCAUGGGCUUUUCCCUGAAAACUCCGGUGGUACAGGAUGGGCCCGCGUCUGAUUAGCCAGUUGGCAGGGUAACGGCCUACCAAAGCGACGAUCAGUAGCCGGCCUGAGAGGGCGGACGGCCACACUGGGACUGAGACACGGCCCAGACUCCUACGGGAGGCAGCAG
rnacentral:rRNA from 1 species